rnacentral:rRNA from 1 species
GAUGAACGCUGGCGGCGUGCCUAAUACAUGCAAGUCGAGCGAACAGAUGAGGAGCUUGCUCCUCUGACGUUAGCGGCGGACGGGUGAGUAACACGUGGAUAACCUACCUAUAAGACUGGGAUAACUUCGGGAAACCGGAGCUAAUACCGGAUAAUAUAUUGAACCGCAUGGUUCAAUAGUGAAAGACGGUUUUGCUGUCACUUAUAGAUGGAUCCGCGCCGCAUUAGCUAGUUGGUAAGGUAACGGCUUACCAAGGCAACGAUGCGUAGCCGACCUGAGAGGGUGAUUGGCCACACUGGAAAUGAGACACGGUCCAGACUCCUAAGGGAGGCAGCAGUAGGGAAUCCUCCGCAAUGGGCGAAAGCCUGACGGAGCAACGCCGCGUGAGUGAUGAAGGUCUUCGGAUCGUAAAACUCUGUUAUUAGGGAAGAACAAAUGUGUAAGUAACUAUGCACGUCUUGACGGUACCUAAUCAGAAAGCCACGGCUAACUACGUG